rnacentral:rRNA from 1 species
UACGUAGGGUGCAAGCGUUGUCCGGAAUUAUUGGGCGUAAAGAGCUCGUAGGCGGUCUGUCGCGUCGGCUGUGAAAACCCGGAGCUCAACUCCGGGCCUGCAGUCGAUACGGGCAGACUGGAGUUCGGCAGGGGAGACUGGAAUUCCUGGUGUAGCAGUGAAAUGCGUAGAUAUCAGGAGGAAUACCGAUGGCGAAGGCAGGUCUCUGGGCUGACACUGACGCUCAUGCACGAAAGCGUGGGGAGCAAACAAGG